CGCGGGGCGGUGGUGCCGCUCUCCUCAGGCGGCCGCGUCCCUCCCCCUUCAGGCCCUCCUGAGGUGAGGGGAAGGAGGGUGUGGGGGCGCGCCGGGACCUCCGCUGCCUGAGGGGAGGGAGCUCCGCGCCCCACACAAAGGGCGCUGCCCGCGGCGGGAGGAGGGGCGGCCCCGGGGGCUGAGGGAGCGGGAGGGCCGGCGGUGGGGGGCAUUCGUACUGCGGGCCGAGGCGGGGCCUUGAGGGCCGGGGGGGCCGCGGUCAGCCACCGCACGCCUGGGAGCGGAGCGGGUUUAGUAACGAUGUGAGGGGCAGAGAGGAGGGGAUCUCGUGACAGACUGUCCCUUCUGUUUAAUGCCCGCCGCGUCUCCGUGUUUGCUUUAAGGACCCGUAGCAGAUGACGGCCGCGCAGCCUCACAAGGCGCUGUGCCCAGCUCCUGCGGAACUUCGCGCCCGCCGCCACUAACUGCAAGCUGAGGAAAGAUCCAAAGCUGAUAUAUCUCUGGAGUACACUGCCCAACUCUGAGCUGGGAGUGGUGAAUAUAACGCUUGGAAUCAGUUUUACUUUAACACACUCCAGAAUAACUGCUCAGCUGUGGAAGGACUGACACCCAAGAUGUGAAGGAUGGAAGUGCAAAGCCUCUCGCACUGUCACAGGACCAAGACUUGCAGCAGACUCACGGUCCAGCAUGCGCUGCCCAGAUCAGCAAUUUUCACUUCCAUGCUCAUUAAAUCAGAAUCUUCCAGUUGAUUGCCAGGAUCUCCUCCUAGAUGGAAAGGAGGGAGAGAAAUCAGGUCUUUCUCCAAACCAACAGGUAUGCAUCACUUACCACAGAAGGUAUAUAUAGACCUACCUGCCUUUGCAAUUUUUCAACCUAAGCAAUCCAAAAAUGCUUUAGGCAGGGGACUCCUUUUAUCACCAAUAAAAUGCCACUUCUGAUUUUUGAGGGAAUGCAAAGGAAGGGCUGCUAACCAGUCACAGUCUAAGAGAAUGUUAUGGAAAACUGCAGCUUGCAGUGGAGUGGUGUGACCACAUGCACCUCUCCUGCUGCAAGGUGGCCUGCCUGGCAAGAACUGUCAAGAUAGCAUUUUCAUAUGUAGACCCUGGAAAAGGGUAAUUUUUGUUUUACUGCUUUGUAACUGUCAACUUAUGUCUGGUAUCAUGCCUUUUUGUUCCCAGCAAAAGACUGUCAAUAAUUUUGCAUUUGUCUAUUACCCCAGGGUUUGAGGGACAAAACAGCAACAUCAUGGGAGAAAUGCUUGUGGGAGAAUAUUGUGGGAGGAGAUAUUAAGAGUUUCAUUGCUGGGUGACUAAAUCCCUUGAGAAACUCUAGCCCUAUGGCUUACCAUAUAUUCACAUCAUUCUCUGAAAAUAAAUCAUGUCUCAGAAGGCCUCAAAGAGUACACAUAAGUCUCCCACAAACCUCAGGAAUACGGGAAAUAAAAGAGUAGAUGUGUCAUACAGUUUUUUGAUCAAACCAUUCAGUAGUUGAAAGUGCCAGAUGAGGAACUAUCCUGUACUGAAAGCUAUAAGAAUUAGCUCUGAGGUUGUGCUUAGCUUAUUGACAAGUGCCUGUGAUUUUUCAUUGUUCUGCAUGCACACCUAUGUGCAAGGCCACUUUUCUGUUGGUGCCCUGAGUAACUUGGAGCCACUCGGUAUGGGGUUUGUAGUAACAGAGACAGGAGAGGUCUCAGCAGUGUAAGUUGUCUGUGUUGUUUUGUACCAGUGUUGCAGGAGACGUUAACUUUUCUUAAGCUAUCUGCACCUACUCUGCUGUUUCACUCCUGGCAACAACCUCUUAAGUCUCUCUUCUUGCAGUAAAACCCGCAGUGCUCACCUGGUGCCUUUAGCCUCAAAUCUGUUCCCUGGCCACAUUCAGCACCAUCAAGCAGAAACCUGUGGAGGUUUUUGUCAUGAAUAUACAGCAGCACGUUCUCUGGUUUGAUGUCUGCAUGGAUAAUCCGGCAGCGCCCAUGCAGGAAGUGCAGGCCUGCUAGCACCUGUGUGAGCCGAACAGCACUUAGAUUAGCAGUGUGACAGAUACUGUAUGCGUGCAGCAGUUGCACCCUGAAGAACAGCAAUGUUGGCUGAGUGUAGAAGCAGGCACAAGUGGUUUCAUCCUGAGAACGGCCAGCGCCGUAGCCCUGGCACAUUCGGCACACCCAGUGAUAGAGCAUGGAGAUCUGGCAAAGGACACAGCAUGAGUGCCCAGGUGCCAGCACAGAUGGGCAGGCCUGGAGAGUUGGAAAUAGGACGAGAUAGGGCUAUGAAGAGGCAUUGCAAUCACAAAGCAGAAUUUUUUCCUGAAAAGCAGCUUUUGUUCACAUGGAUGGCACGUCUUCAGCCCACCAAGCCUAUCUGUUAAUACAGCAUUAUCACUGGAAUGGAAGUUGGGAGUCGGUUAUAGGGUGUUUGACGUGGCACAGGAGGGAGUCCCAGCGUGCAAGGAAAGAGAAGGAGGUGAAUCAUAACGCAGACAGGAGGAGGGAGGGAUGAUGAGUGAGUACAUGCAGAGAGGAAUUAAGGGUACUGCAGGAGAGCCAUGUAGGGAAAGAACAGCUCACGGUGGAGCAGGGAGAGCCUGGCUGUCACAGGGGAGAGAUAAACAAUGCCUGCAAGAGAAACACACGCUAUCAGAAAAUAACAGUGAAAAGGCUACUAGGAAGUUAAGUUGCUCUUUUAAAACACUGGUCAGUCAUAAAGGCUGGCGAAUAUUCUCUGUAUUAUCAAAAUCUAUUCUGGGAUGAGCACCAGCCCCAGGGAAAUACCAACCUUAAAUGGUAACUGUGAAACACAAGAAAAGAUUUAAAUAGCUAAACUGGAAUGAAUCAGAAGUAAAUGCCUCAAUGCUAAUCCAAAGGCGAAAAAAAAAUACAAUUUACAUAGAUAAGAGAUCAAACAGAAGGCUUGGGUGUGAAACAGAGCAUAUUGAUGAAUGCCAC
rnacentral:lncRNA from 1 species